CAAAUUUUGUAUACUUAAAAACUAAAUAAGAAACAAAGUUGGUCCCCGCAGAAGGGAUUUUGGCCAUGUAUUCAAUGUACUGUUUAGCCCGUGAGUAGAAGGCAAUAAUGGGUGGGUGUGUGGGGUCAAAGGGGUUUGGAGGCCAUAAAUAAGAGCUACAGCUACAGAAACAGCAACAUCCAUCCAGCUCUGUUCUUGUGUAAUGUGCAUAUCAGUUUUGUGGAACCAAAGGGAAGAGAGAGAUCUCAGAGACUGAAACAGAGGGGGCUGAGAGGGUGAAGUGAGGUGGAGUGGGGUCUCCAUUCUCAGGCCUUUUUCUUUUGUUUUGUUUUUUUUUUAUUGUUUUCAUGUCAGUUUCCCCCCAACUCUCACUGUCUUCCUCUUCAUUUCCAACUUUGAAUUUUUACCUUAGUUUCUAACAUUCAAUCUUUCAAUUCAUUUCUCUGACAGCCAACAAAAGGACCCAAUUAUGAACCCAGAGAAGAAAAAAGCUUCAGACCAGCCUCUGCACUUGGAGUGGAUGAUGAUGAUGAAGAGGGAGAAUUUUGCUUACUUCACCCAUGGCUGAGGCGGAGAGCUCUGGGUAGCGGUGGGUGUUGUUGGCUCCGGCUGCUGUUUCUGUGUCUGUGUGGGCGAGGGAGUGUGGAUUUAUGGGCGUGGGCGAAGAGGAGACGAGAGGAGGUGGGGUUUUGAAAGCUGGGUAAUCUGCAAAUCUGACGUGGAGCCAUUUAAUGCAGGCACCCCAUAUGUCCCUUUGUACCCACUCUACUUUCCAAUUUUGCCCUUCACUUUCAAAUUUUUGAAAAUAUAUAAUUAAGUUCU